rnacentral:rRNA from 1 species
GGGUUGUGAGGUUAAGCGACUAAGCGUACACGGUGGAUGCCCUGGCAGUCAGAGGCGAUGAAGGACGUGCUAAUCUGCGAUAAGCGUCGGUAAGGUGAUAUGAACCGUUAUAACCGGCGAUUUCCGAAUGGGGAAACCCAGUGUGUUUCGACACACUAUCAUUAACUGAAUCCAUAGGUUAAUGAGGCGAACCGGGGGAACUGAAACAUCUAAGUACCCCGAGGAAAAGAAAUCAACCGAGAUUCCCCCAGUAGCGGCGAGCGAACGGGGAGCAGCCCAGAGCCUGAAUCAGUGUGUGUGUUAGUGGAAGCGUCUGGAAAGGCGCGCGAUACAGGGUGACAGCCCCGUACACAAAAAUGCACAUGCUGUGAGCUCGAUGAGUAGGGCGGGACACGUGGUAUCCUGUCUGAAUAUGGGGGGACCAUCCUCCAAGGCUAAAUACUCCUGACUGACCGAUAGUGAACCAGUACCGUGAGGGAAAGGCGAAAAGAACCCCGGCGAGGGGAGUGAAAAAGAACCUGAAACCGUGUACGUACAAGCAGUGGGAGCACGCUUAGGCGUGUGACUGCGUACCUUUUGUAUAAUGGGUCAGCGACUUAUAUUCUGUAGCAAGGUUAACCGAAUAGGGGAGCCGAAGGGAAACCGAGUCUUAACUGGGCGUUAAGUUGCAGGGUAUAGACCCGAAACCCGGUGAUCUAGCCAUGGGCAGGUUGAAGGUUGGGUAACACUAACUGGAGGACCGAACCGACUAAUGUUGAAAAAUUAGCGGAUGACUUGUGGCUGGGGGUGAAAGGCCAAUCAAACCGGGAGAUAGCUGGUUCUCCCCGAAAGCUAUUUAGGUAGCGCCUCGUGAAUUCAUCUCCGGGGGUAGAGCACUGUUUCGGCAAGGGGGUCAUCCCGACUUACCAACCCGAUGCAAACUGCGAAUACCGGAGAAUGUUAUCACGGGAGACACACGGCGGGUGCUAACGUCCGUCGUGAAGAGGGAAACAACCCAGACCGCCAGCUAAGGUCCCAAAGUCAUGGUUAAGUGGGAAACGAUGUGGGAAGGCCCAGACAGCCAGGAUGUUGGCUUAGAAGCAGCCAUCAUUUAAAGAAAGCGUAAUAGCUCACUGGUCGAGUCGGCCUGCGCGGAAGAUGUAACGGGGCUAAACCAUGCACCGAAGCUGCGGCAGCGACGCUGAUGCGUUGUUGGGUAGGGGAGCGUUCUGUAAGCCUGCGAAGGUGUGCUGUGAGGUAUGCUGGAGGUAUCAGAAGUGCGAAUGCUGACAUAAGUAACGAUAAAGCGGGUGAAAAGCCCGCUCGCCGGAAGACCAAGGGUUCCUGUCCAACGUUAAUCGGGGCAGGGUGAGUCGACCCCUAAGGCGAGGCCGAAAGGCGUAGUCGAUGGGAAACAGGUUAAUAUUCCUGUACUUGGUGUUACUGCGAAGGGGGGACGGAGAAGGCUAUGUUGGCCGGGCGACGGUUGUCCCGGUUUAAGCGUGUAGGCUGGUUUUCCAGGCAAAUCCGGAAAAUCAAGGCUGAGGCGUGAUGACGAGGCACUACGGUGCUGAAGCAACAAAUGCCCUGCUUCCAGGAAAAGCCUCUAAGCAUCAGGUAACAUCAAAUCGUACCCCAAACCGACACAGGUGGUCAGGUAGAGAAUACCAAGGCGCUUGAGAGAACUCGGGUGAAGGAACUAGGCAAAAUGGUGCCGUAACUUCGGGAGAAGGCACGCUGAUAUGUAGGUGAAGUCCCUUGCGGAUGGAGCUGAAAUCAGUCGAAGAUACCAGCUGGCUGCAACUGUUUAUUAAAAACACAGCACUGUGCAAACACGAAAGUGGACGUAUACGGUGUGACGCCUGCCCGGUGCCGGAAGGUUAAUUGAUGGGGUCAGCGCAAGCGAAGCUCUUGAUCGAAGCCCCGGUAAACGGCGGCCGUAACUAUAACGGUCCUAAGGUAGCGAAAUUCCUUGUCGGGUAAGUUCCGACCUGCACGAAUGGCGUAAUGAUGGCCAGGCUGUCUCCACCCGAGACUCAGUGAAAUUGAACUCGCUGUGAAGAUGCAGUGUACCCGCGGCAAGACGGAAAGACCCCGUGAACCUUUACUAUAGCUUGACACUGAACAUUGAGCCUUGAUGUGUAGGAUAGGUGGGAGGCUUUGAAGUGUGGACGCCAGUCUGCAUGGAGCCGACCUUGAAAUACCACCCUUUAAUGUUUGAUGUUCUAACGUUGACCCGUAAUCCGGGUUGCGGACAGUGUCUGGUGGGUAGUUUGACUGGGGCGGUCUCCUCCUAAAGAGUAACGGAGGAGCACGAAGGUUGGCUAAUCCUGGUCGGACAUCAGGAGGUUAGUGCAAUGGCAUAAGCCAGCUUGACUGCGAGCGUGACGGCGCGAGCAGGUGCGAAAGCAGGUCAUAGUGAUCCGGUGGUUCUGAAUGGAAGGGCCAUCGCUCAACGGAUAAAAGGUACUCCGGGGAUAACAGGCUGAUACCGCCCAAGAGUUCAUAUCGACGGCGGUGUUUGGCACCUCGAUGUCGGCUCAUCACAUCCUGGGGCUGAAGUAGGUCCCAAGGGUAUGGCUGUUCGCCAUUUAAAGUGGUACGCGAGCUGGGUUUAGAACGUCGUGAGACAGUUCGGUCCCUAUCUGCCGUGGGCGCUGGAGAACUGAGGGGGGCUGCUCCUAGUACGAGAGGACCGGAGUGGACGCAUCACUGGUGUUCGGGUUGUCAUGCCAAUGGCACUGCCCGGUAGCUAAAUGCGGAAGAGAUAAGUGCUGAAAGCAUCUAAGCACGAAACUUGCCCCGAGAUGAGUUCUCCCUGACUCCUUGAGAGUCCUGAAGGAACGUUGAAGACGACGACGUUGAUAGGCCGGGUGUGUAAGCGCAGCGAUGCGUUGAGCUAACCGGUACUAAUGAACCGUGAGGCUUAACCUUACAACGCCGAAGGUGUUU